rnacentral:rRNA from 1 species
AAGAGACAGCAGUCGCCGCGGGAAUACGGAGGAUCCAAGCGUUAUCCGGAAUCAUUGGGUUUAAAGGGUCCGUAGGCGGUCUUGUAAGUCAGUGGUGAAAGCCCAUCGCUCAACGGUGGAACGGCCAUUGAUACUGCAGGACUUGAAUUAUUGGGAAGUAACUAGAAUAUGUAGUGUAGCGGUGAAAUGCUUAGAGAUUACAUGGAAUACCAAUUGCGAAGGCAGGUUACUACCAAUUGAUUGACGCUGAUGGACGAAAGCGUGGGUAGCGAACAGGAUUAGAUACCCGAGUAGUCCCUGUCUCUUAUAC